rnacentral:rRNA from 1 species
GUUGGGAACCACUGCCCUAAAGGCACCAGAACCUGUCUGAUCUCAGAAGUUAAGCAAAGGUCAGUCCUGGUUAGUAUCUUGGAUGGGAGACCACUAACAAAUAUUAGGUGCUAUAAAUU